UGAAUGUGCCGGUUCUCGUUCGAUCACUGAAGUCAAGCAUCAUUCGAAAGAGAUCAAUACUUAAGAGGGUGACCACCUGGGAACACCGUGUGCCGU